rnacentral:rRNA from 1 species
GUCACAAUCCCUCGCAAGAGACCUAUUCUUCCCCGAUAAAAGCAGUUUACAAUCCAGAGGACCUUCUUCCUGCACGCGGCAUGGCUGGGUCAGACUUGCAUCCAUUGCCCAAUAUUCCCUACUGCUGCCUCCCGUAG